rnacentral:RNase_P_RNA from 1 species
CAGGUCGGCCAGGCGAUCGCGGCUGAUUCCGGUCAGUCGAGGAAAGUCCGCACUCCACAGAGCACGGUGCCGGGCAACCCCCGGAGGGGAGCAAUCCCUUGUACAGGGCCACAGAAACAGGUAGCCGCCUGCCCCGCCCUCUUUUGAAGGCGCAAGGCAGGCGGUGAUAGUGAAAAGGCGGUGUAAGAGACCACCGGCGCGGGUGGCAACAUCCGCGGCCAGGCAACCUCCGCCGGGAGCAAGGUCAAGCAGAGGCGAGAUGCUGCUCGUAUCGCCAGAGCCUCGGGUAGACCGCAUCGAGGCGGGCCGAGAGACCCGCCCCAGACAGAUGAUCGCCCUUGACAGAAUGCGGCUUAUCGGCUGGCCUGGGGG